GAUCAGCCGUCCAUCUGAGCCUUGGCUUCGGGUCCCUUGUCAUCAUUACUCCGUUCUCGUAAGGAUAACUCACAUAAGCACUUCUUUCCAUUUCUUUCUUCUUCGAAUGAACAACAACAAACAAUAAUAAGAUCAAAGCUAUUUUCAACUGUUUUAAGCUCUAUAUUAAUUGAUUGGAAAUACUUUAAAAAGUGAGAAUUUUUUUUUUUAAAGAUAUUUAAUUAUGAUGGAGAACAUGUAGAGGGAAGCCCGGCGACGAAUCUCAAGCAACAUGAUUGUGACAUUUUUUUUUUAUUUAUUUCAUUGUAUUAUACAACAAAUUUAAAUAAGAAUAAAAUGGAAAACUAUAAUCCCCGCCUCUUUCUUCUACGUUUACUUUUCUUGCUAACCGUCAGAUCUUUCUUAAAAGUCAAAAAGGUAUGGCGAUCUGACGGUGGGAUGGCCGCGUAAGCCAGCGUGGAAUAUUCUCCGGGAGGCAAAGCGAAUACAAAAUUUGAGCGGUCACGUGGAGGGCCCAUAAGAGGGUCAUUUGAAGGACUAGUGGGACCGGUAUAGGAGACACGUGUCGAGAUAUGCGGCUAGGACGGUGGGGUCGGAGGUGGCUGAAGAAUAAUCGAUCGUGGGCCAAAUUGGAAGGAUGUGAAGGCUUGGUCCCGUGAGAGAAAGAAAGAAAGCUGGUCCAAUGAAUCUGUCCCUUCUUUGCUUGUCUUCACGCUAUUCUUAGAUUGCAUUAAACCUUAAUGCAGUGGAUUCAAUCGACCAGUUCCACUUUAGAUUAGAGUGUUAAUGAUAAUCGUCAGAUCAUAUUAAUAAGAAUAAAAUUAAUAAGUAUAGAAUUAACAUUUAUCUAUAGAAUUAUACAGUUAUUAUUAGUGCUCCAUCGCAGAGCAAUUCCAAUAUAAUCGAGUCC
rnacentral:lncRNA from 1 species